rnacentral:rRNA from 1 species
UACGAAGGGGGCUAGCGUUGCUCGGAAUCACUGGGCGUAAAGGGUGCGUAGGCGGGUCUUUAAGUCAGGGGUGAAAUCCUGGAGCUCAACUCCAGAACUGCCUUUGAUACUGAAGAUCUUGAGUUCGGGAGAGGUGAGUGGAACUGCGAGUGUAGAGGUGAAAUUCGUAGAUAUUCGCAAGAACACCAGUGGCGAAGGCGGCGACCUGGGCCAAUAUUGACGCUGAGGUGCGAAAGCG